CUGAUAUUUUGAAUUUAAGGUCUGUAAGAUACUGGUAACUACCCUUUACAAAUCAAACUCGUUACUACAGAAAAUAUACAUGAAUAUAUACCAAUCGCUGCACAGAUGUUGCGAUGCAUAAUUAUAGCAUGAUGCCUCCUUUCUCGGCAAUGAUGUGCUGUGUACAUACAUGAAUACUUUUAAACUGAAUGUCUAUCAAAACCUGCUGAUAUUUAUUUCCUUUAGGAAAUUCCAGAGCAAAGCAACAACAGCGAUUGCGGGGUUUUUCUUUGCAUGUUUGCCAGAAGUAUAUUGCGGAAUUUAGCAAUGGAUUUUGAAGAGAGCCAUAUGGAAUUGUGGAGRAGGCAAAUAGCAUAUGAGCUACUGUCAAAUGACUUGAUCGUGUAAUGGACGAUUCUUGGUGACAGGAAGUUACAUUUAUCAUCAAAUGGAAGGAAURAUACAAGUACUGUACCUCUUAUUUCUAGUGGAAUUUUUCUAUGAAUUCUGCAAUGUUAUACUGUUUAAUCUAAUUCCUACUUUGUUGUACCAUGUUUGUUUUGGAAAAUUGUYCAUCAUGGUAAUAAUUGAGUGCCCUAUAAUGUAUUUUAGCAAAGGGAUUGAAGCAAAACAUUUUGUUACUGUUUUAGAGCAUUACAUAUAAUGAAAUGAUUGUACUCUUUUGUCAUGUUUGUUUUAACCAACAUUGGGUAUAAUUAUCACUAUACUCUGGUUUUAGAAGGGCAUGCCAUAAUACUUUACAAUGAYAUUAAGGGUAUAGCUCUUUUCYGAAAAAUGUUUAAGAAAAUGUAAUAGAGACAAGAAAUAUAAAGGAAAUUAUACCAAAGAGGAAAAAUUGCAAUUCUUUAACAAAUUCAUUCGUACUCUAUAGUAUGCCUCAGAUCUAAUAAAACUUUAAAAGGAGCUAGUAUAUAAAAUGUGAAAUAUGUAAUACCUGUAUGUAUAUAUAUGUAUAUAUGUUUUAGAUCAUUUUUUUUGAAAAUUCUCCUGGUUUUUAGAAAAAUAUUUUUGGACACUUGUAAUAUCUUUUGAUUUUUUCUCAAAAUUGUUUAAUACUUAUUAACUAAAUUAAAGUUAUUGUAAAUAGAUAAUGAUAUUUUUUUGUCAUAUCCUCUAGAAAUGUUAUU